UAAUAGUUGAGUUUGGUGAUGGCUCUGAUUGAAUGCUGUCCAAGUGCUUGACACAUGCUAAUCGUACGUUUUAAUUUUUUUUAAUUAAAAAGUGGUGUACAGGUGAGUAUAUGGAUAUUCUUCGCCGGCCUUAAAGUGAAGGUAAAUCCUUCAUAAUCAAUAAAGGGAAAUAGGGUGCGAUAAAUCCUAAUCCUGCUUUAAGAGGAUAAUAAAUAUCUUCGGGAUAGGUAGUAGUUAAGGUGAUGACUUAACUAGCCUAAAACUCUCGUAGUCGAAGCUGAAAGGUUGAUCGACCACAUUGGGUCUGAAAAAACCCCAAUGCAAGUUAGUACAGCAGUGAGGAAUUUUGGUCAAUAGUCUAACGACUGAACUGGCAACUUGGAGAAGUGGCAAGUCCUAUUUUGAUCAUAUCUUUGAAUAUGAUCUAUAGGAUUGUAUUAAAAUUGAAUAAAGCUUUGUUUAUAUAUUGAUAAUGACAGUAUAUAUAUCGUGUCUUGACUAAUUGCGUGCCAGCAGUCGCGGUAAUACGUAAGAGACUAGUGUUAUUCAUCUUAAUUAGGUUUAAAGGGUACUUAGACGGUCAAUAUAGCUUCUAGAAUGUUAGUACUUGACUAGAGUUUUAUGUAAGAGGGCAGUACUUGAGGAGGAGAGAUGAAAUUCUAUGAUACCAAAGGGACUCGGUAAAGGCGAAGGCAGCCCUCUAUGUAAAAACUGACGUUGAAGGACGAAGGCACAGAGAACAAACAGGAUUAGAUACCCAAGUAGUCUUUGCAGUAAAUGAUGAAUGCCAUAGGUUAGAUUAAGAUUUAGUAAAAAUAACUAAACAUUAUUUAGUCUAUAAAUGAAAGUGUAAGCAUUUCACCUCAAGAGUAAUGUGGCAACGCAGGAACUGAAAUCACUAGACCGUUUCUGACACCAGUAGUGAAGUAUGUUGUUUAAUUCGAUGAUCCACGAAAAAUCUUACCACAAUUUGUAUAAUUAUUACAGGAGUUGCACGGCUGUUUUCAGUUAAUGUUGUGAAACUGUGGUUUCCAUGAAAUUAACGCAAUCCCUGGCUUUAUUUUUUUUUUUUACGAUAAAGCAUUUGAUCCUAGAAUUUGGAAAAAAAAAGGGGACAAAGACAAGUCAUCAUGGCCUUAAUGUUGUGGGCUAUAGACGUGCCACAUAUUCCUAGACAAAGAGAUGCGAAAAUGUGAAUUUAAGCUAAUCUCAAAAAAUAGGAUAUAAAUUUUAAGGAUUGUAGUCUGAAAUUCGACUAUAUGAAUAAGUAAUUACUAGUAAUCGUGAAUCACCAUGUCACGGUGAAUUAACCUUGGAUUGGUACUAACCACUCGUCACAUGCUGAAAAGAGCAUGCGCAAUAAGUUUGCUUUCUUAGUAAUUAGUAAAAAAAACAAGUAGGUUUUGUGUAAUCUAUUAUUGGGAAUCUUCGUAUGCGUGGCUCUAAUUAGUGUUAAGUCGAAAUACGGUUCGCGUAGUGGAAGUUGCGCGGGAUUGAUGAACAUU
rnacentral:rRNA from 1 species